rnacentral:rRNA from 1 species
GCAGCCGCGGUAAUACGGGAGGGUGCAAGCGUUAAUCGGAAUUACUGGGCGUAAAGCGCACGCAGGCGGUUUGUUAAGUCAGAUGUGAAAUCCCCGGGCUCAACCUGGGAACUGCAUUUGAAACUGGCAAGCUAGAGUCUCGUAGAGGGGGGUAGAAUUCCAGGUGUAGCGGUGAAAUGCGUAGAGAUCUGGAGGAAUACCGGUGGCGAAGGCGGCCCCCUGGACGAAGACUGACGCUCAGGUGCGAAAGCGUGGGGAGCAAACAGGAUUAGAUACCCUGGUAGUCCACGCUGUAAACGAUGUCGAUUUGGAGGUUGUGCCCUUGAGGCGUGGCUUCCGGAGCUAACGCGUUAAAUCGACCGCCUGGGGAGUACGGCCGCAAGGUUAAAACUCAAAUGAAUUGACGGGGGCCCGCACAAGCGGUGGAGCAUGUGGUUUAAUUCGAUGCAACGCGAAGAACCUUACCUGCUCUUGACAUCCAGAGAACUUAGCAGUGAUGCUUUGGUGCCUUCGGGAACUCUGAGACAGGUGCUGCAUGGCUGUCGUCAGCUCGUGUUGUGAAAUGUUGGGUUAAGUCCCGCAACGAGCGCAACCCUUAUC